UGGGGAAUUUUGGACAAUGGGGGCAACCCUGAUCCAGCAAUGCCGCGUGUGUGAAGAAGGUCUUCGGAUCGUAAAGCACUUUCGACGGGGACGAUGAUGACGGUACCCGUAGAAGAAGCCCCGGCUAACUUCGUGCCAGCAGCCGCGGUAAUACGAAGGGGGCUAGCGUUACUCGGAAUUACUGGGCGUAAAGGGCGCGUAGGCGGCGCUCCAAGUUAGGCGUGAAAGUCCUGGGCUCAACCUGGGAACUGCGCUUAAGACUGGAGUGCUUGAGGAUGGAAGAGGGUCGUGGAAUUCCCAGUGUAGAGGUGAAAUUCGUAGAUAUUGGGAAGAACACCGGUGGCGAAGGCGGCGACCUGGUCCAUUACUGACGCUGAGGCGCGACAGCGUGGGGAGCAAAC
rnacentral:rRNA from 1 species